rnacentral:rRNA from 1 species
GGCAAGCCUGAUGCAGCGACGCCGCGUGAGGGAUGACGGCCUUCGGGUUGUAAACCUCUUUCACCCAUGACGAAGCGCAAGUGACGGUAGUGGGAGAAGAAGCACCGGCCAACU